CCAUUAUUAACUAACAGAAAGAUUUCAAUUGCUCACUGGAGGAAAACUCACAUGGAGGAAAUGACCAGUUUACAAAAAAACGGAUUGGAAGAAAGAGAAUGCAUACUGUAUCUUCCCCAGGUCCUGCGAACAGUUCAGGAACAACAGAUAUCAAUUUUUUGAUUAGUUUUUUUUCUUAAUGAAUUUUGACUUUAGGAGCUACUGAGGAUGUUAAUCUUAUUGCUGAAAGUUCUGAUAAGGGAGCAGUGAAAAUUAGUUCUUUGAGCAAAAUUGUUGGUGUUGAACAGAUUGACUUACCCGGGAGUAAAGAUUUCUCGGUGGCAACUCAGAAUACAGCUCCAAAAGUUAAUCUUCAGAGUGUGCCUAUGAUGGUUAAGAGGAGUGAAAAUGAUGUUAAAGCAGAAUUGCAUGACUCUGAGUUGUGUCUUGGAAUGGGGUGGGUAGUUUAUCAGUUGCAUUGUCAAACCUAUAACAUUUUCAAAUCCCUUUUCUUAUGUAUCUCUGUCUCGGGCAUCUCCGACACCUGCAAAAUAUGUUCCUCAAUCGCAAAGUUUCAACUUAUUGUCCUUGUCGGCUGGAUGUAACGGGUUGAAGGUUGAUGAUUGUUUAAUUAAAGGUGGAAGUAGGUUGGGACCAUUCUCAAAAUCACAAGUUCCUUAUUUUCGGUCUAUACAACAGCAACACGGACUCAUGGCAAUACCUUCAACUUCAAAUCAAUAUACACCCACUUCUUUCUUACCUUAAUCAGCUUCCUACUGCAGGACCAUAGGUUUUAAUUGUUUUAACCAUAGACUCCUACAAUGAUGUAUUAGUGAACUACAACUCAUAGUGAUUUAUAUUAUUGUUUAAACAUGAAUGAGGCAGGUAAAGUUUAUUGUUUAUGAUAAACCUACCCCACAACACCAAAAAAGAGGGACAAUUUGUAUUUCAUAUAACUGUUGCAGGCUUGUCGCACCUAAUAUCUUACUGUGAUGAUAAUAAGUUUUGUAACUUUGUUCCCUCAUGCUUUAAUUGAAUGUAGGUUCGGUUGCAACAACCUUUUUAUUGCUGCUGCUUAAAAUAUAUAUAUUUAUUCUUUGAAAAUUUUAUAUUUGUUUUUGGUGUUGUUUUGAAGCAGCAUACCAUUAGCGAUAGUGAAAACAACAUGAAGCAAUAGUUUGCAGAGGAUAAGAUAGUAGGAUUCAAAUAUAUAAUCUAAUUUUCUUUCUGUGACAGGGAACUGAUAUACACGUCGUUGUGCCGACAACAUAUAUGCCGACAUUCGAUUCAAUGUUAACGGUCGACCACACUUACACUUUGUACUCCAAACAAAAAAAUGUGCUCUUAAUGUGCAUCAUACGCCAUGCUCCGACAAAGCAACUUGAAGAGCUCAGGGAAUUGAGAAAUUUAUCAAUUGGCAGGGAUGCUGUAAGAAAACCCUUGGAAGAGAGAAAGAGAACUCUUGAAGAAUCUCUAUAUUCAAAUAGUCCAGAUAAACAAAUAGUGCUCCAUAAGUUGAGAGAAGUGCAGCAGGAAGAACAGUUCAUUUCAUCUGAAAUUAGAAAGAGAUUUACCAGGAUGGUGCAUAUUUCGUAUCAACUUACAUAUCCUCUCUCACUUAGGAGGAGGAACAUUCAAAACUUCUUGCAGAUCUGGAAAACUAGCAGAAAGUAGCAUCUUGGAAAUCCUAUACUCACCGUUUUGUCUUGGAAAGUAGCAGAUCUGUUUUUGUCUUGAAAAUUAUAGAAAUAGAAAUUAAAAACACAUUAAGAAAUUUCAUUUUUCCUAUUGGUUUGAUUGGUUGAGUUUCAUGGUUGUUACUUGGAUUUUGUCCAUUAUUGUUUUUCAUUCAGCCUAAUGUAUCCAAGAAGCCUGUAAUUAAGUUUUGUAAUGUCAGUUAGAACAAUGUAAGUUAACUGUCAUGCCAACAAACAAUGUAAUUUAACCUAGAUAUUAAACUUAGUAAACCAGUUCAUAUUAAUAUACCACUUCA